UACGUAGGGGGCUAGCGUUGUCCGGAAUUAUUGGGCGUAAAGAGCUCGUAGGCGGUCUGUCGCGUCUGCUGUGAAAACUCGGGGCUUAACCCCGGGCCUGCAGUGGGUACGGGGCAGACUAGAGUGCGGUAGGGGGAGACUGGAAUUCCUGGUGUAGCGGUGAAAUGCGCAGAUAUAGGAGGAACACCGGUGGCGAAGGCGGGUCUCUGGGCCGUAACUGACGCUGAGGAGCGAAAGCGUGGG
rnacentral:rRNA from 1 species